rnacentral:lncRNA from 1 species
UUUUAUUCAAUUUUUCAUAAAUCUUUAGUAUGAAUUGUAUGUUAGAAUAAAAAUACUUUUUAAACCCGUAGAUCUGUAAAAACUAAACACACAAUCUCGUACUAAAUUAAUGAGAAAUGUAAGCAAAAGCGUACUUGAAUUCAUCGUAGAAGAAUUGUUCGCAUCCAGUUGUAAAAUCUUUCGAAUCAACACGAUGCCUAAAAAUUAGUUUUUUUCUAGUGACAGAAUUUCAGAAAAAUAAAAUGGUGAUAUAGUGAUUCGGGGGUCAUAAACGCCUUUUAUAUUAACAAAUUUUUACAAUUUUUAUUUCGCUCAUCAAAAAAUGAGAAUAUUAUAAAAAUGGUAUCUGCACAUUAUAAGCUCAUACUUAAAUCUGAUGCAUUAAAGUUUAAUAAUGUUUAAUCGUAUUUGAUCAUUUUUAAAUGAGUCUAUUAAAUUGACAGUCUGAUAUUGUAACACCUAUUAAUUUUGCCAUUUAUUAUUAUUAUUUUUAAUUAAUUUUUUGAAUUU